GGUAAAAUGGGGAGGAGAGGAGGCAAUAUUUUACAAAAGAAUUCUAUAAUUGGAUUCUUAAUCUUGUUUACGGUGAAGAGAUCAAGUGGUCUUUGUCAGGGUCGCGUAUACACGAUGUGCGUGCGUGUGCCAAGGGACACAUUCCUGCACGGGUGGCGUCAACCGAAAUAGAUUUGCCAUAAUAGACACUCGAGCGCACUCGUUCCGUUUCUGGGACAUCGGGAGGAAAAACGGGCUUGAUGAGGCCGUAUCUCAGCCUCUGCCACCUUUAUUCGCCCUUUCGAGCUUUCGUUGAAAGUAAUUGCUCGUGUGAAUCGUUGAAAUAUCUCCGGGUAUAUUUUAAACUGGCCGAUGGAAUGUCUUCGAGAAUUCGCGAGGAUGGCACAGGAUGGAUACAGAAACCGUUUACAAGUACUCGAGAUAUUUAACCAAUCUGUAAAUUAAAUGAUUUAAAAUCCAACAGCUGUUUCUAUAUGGAAUAGAUCGUGCGAAGCUAUAAUGCGUGGGAAUAUCAAAAUUUGUCUUGAACGCGCCAUUGAAAGAGCCUUUCGAACGAUGUGACCGUUACUUCGAAUUCCAACCGGAGUUUCGACCAAACUGGGGAUAUUACCGUAAUUAACGCAUCGAUGUUCACUUAGGGACCCCCAGUAAACAGUCAGUUGUGCUCACGUGGGAACUUCACAUUCGAACGCAUUCCUUCCACAAUUUUCAAUACCUAUAUAUAGAAAGACUUCAGAUUUUAUUAUCAAUAAUUUCCAAAUUUAUCUUUUCCAGAAUUUUCAC